rnacentral:rRNA from 1 species
GGGCGUUCAGUUGCUGGGCGUAGACCCGAAACCAGGUGAUCUAUCCAUGGCCAGGAUGAAGGUGCGGUAACACGUACUGGAGGUCCGAACCCACUAACGUUGAAAAGUUAGGGGAUGAGCUGUGGAUAGGGGUGAAAGGCUAAACAAACCUGGAAAUAGCUGGUUCUCUCCGAAAACUAUUUAGGUAGUGCCUCGUGUCUCACCUUCGGGGGUAGAGCACUGUCAUGGUUGGGGGGUCUAUUGCAGAUUACCCCGCCAUAGCAAACUCCGAAUACCGAAGAGUGCAAUCACGGGAGACAGACAUCGGGUGCUAACGUCCGGUGUCAAGAGGGAAACAACCCAGACCGCCAGCUAAGGUCCCCAAAUAUAGCUAAGUGGGAAACGAAGUGGGAAGGCUAAAACAGUCAGGAGGUUGGCUUAGAAGCAGCCACCCUUUAAAGAAAGCGUAAUAGCUCACUGAUCGAGUCGUCCUGCGCGGAAGAUGUAACGGGGCUAAGCUAUAUACCGAAGCUGCGGAUGCG